GUAGGAGGCUAGCGUUAUCCGGAUUUACUGGGCGUAAAGGGCGUGUAGGCGGUGCGCUAAGUUGGACGUGAAAUCUCCCGGCCCAACUGGGAGGGGUCGUUCAAUACUGGUGCACUUGAGGGCAGGAGAGGGAAGUGGAAUUCCCGGUGUAGCGGUGGAAUGCGUAGAUAUCGGGAGGAACACCUGUGGCGAAGGCGGCUUCCUGGUCUGUUCCUGACGCUGAGGCGCGAAAGCUAGGGGAGCAAACGGGAUUAGAUACCCCGGUAGUCCUAGCUGUAAACGAUGGAUACUAGGUGUUGGUGGUAUUGACCCCCAUCAGUGCCGUAGCUAACGCGUUAAGUAUCCCGCCUGGGGACUACGACCGCAAGGUUA
rnacentral:rRNA from 1 species